rnacentral:rRNA from 1 species
UCGCGAAAACUUCGCAAUGAGGGCAACCCCGACGAGGGAAUUCCAAGUGCCAGCACUUUGUGUUGGCUGUUCUCCUGUCUAAAAAACAGGAGGAGUAAGGGGCGGGUAAGACGGGUGCCAGCCGCCGCGGUAAUACCCGCGCCCCUAGUGGUGGUCGAUAUUAUUGAGCCUAAAGCGUCCGUAGCCGGUCUUUUAAAUCCUUGGGUAAAUCGGGCAGCUUAACUGUCCGAAGUCCGGGGAGACUGGGAGACUUGGGACCGGGAGAGGUAAGAGGUACUUCCGGGGUAGGGGUAAAAUCCUGUAAUCCUGGAAGGACCACCGGUGGCGAAGGCGCCUGACUAGAACGGAUCCGACGGUGAGGGACGAAGCCCUGGGGCGCAAACG